rnacentral:rRNA from 1 species
UACGUAGGGGGCGAGCGUUGUCCGGAAUCAUUGGGCGUAAAGCGCGUGUAGGCGGCUCGUUAAGUCCGGUGUGAAACCUUGGGGCUCAACCCCAAGCCUGCACUGGAUACUGACGAGCUCGAGUCCGGGAGGGGAGAGCGGAAUUCCUAGUGUAGCGGUGAAAUGCGCAGAUAUUAGGAAGAACACCGGUGGCGAAGGCGGCUCUCUGGAACGGUACUGACGCUGAGACGCGAAAGCAUGGGGAGCGAACAGG